rnacentral:rRNA from 6 species
AGUGACGAUAGCCUAGGAGAUACACCUGUACCCAUGCCGAACACAGCAGUUAAGCCCUAGAACGCCUGAAGUAGUUGGGGGUUGCCCCCUGUUAGAUACGGUAGUCGCUUAGCA